rnacentral:pre_miRNA from 1 species
UGGACAGCUUAUUGUAUUCGACUGUAUUCACGGCGUGAAACAGGGGAUUACACUGUUUUUAAACGGAAAGUGAAUCAAUUAACAUAAUAGACUCCU